AUGGCCACCGGAGGCGCCCCAAAGCCGGAGGAGGAGACCGUCGUCUUCCCCGAUUGGGUGAUGCUGGAAUGCAUCUUCCGCAAACGGUGCCACGACGACCUAGACGCUGCUGGUGAGGCCGUCAACAAGAACAAGACCGCCGCUCCAGUCAAGAUUGACAGCGACCACUCCUGCUUCGUCUCCUUCACCCUCGCAGCUCCUCCAUGGUCCUCCUACUUCAACCUCCAUUGGUCGGAGAGACAAGGCUCAGAAGGACUCCUUGCCUUCGUCCGGGCAAUCGACAAGAACCUCGUCCUCUUCGAUAUCUCGAUCCCCGACCGGAUUCGCUACAUGGACGCUCCGCUAGAUCUGUUCGUCUACACGGCCUCUGCUCCUUCCCCCUCGGUGCAGCAGCUUCCUUGGUGCAGCACAAAGUGGUUCCUGGCUCAUGAGUUCACCACCGGCAUUCUGCAGCUCAAAGCGGAGCACUGCUACAUCAUUGCCGACCUCAAUGUCCACCUCAAGAAAAAGGGCGUUAGUGCUGAACUCUGCAUCUUCAACUCCGGCGCCAACGAGUGGAGAAUCAUCACCAAGGUGCUUGCUGAUAAGCUCCUUGACCUCUGGUGGACCGAUGAUGUGUUUGCUUUCGACGGCCGUUUCUUUUGCUGGGUGGACUACUUCAGCGGCGUCGUGCUGUGCGACUUCUCCAAAAAUGUGGACUCCCCGGUGCUCCACUUCGUGCCUUUUCCUGGAGGAAUCAAAUACCCUGAUGACGCACGGUUCCCGAGGUACUUCCCAGGGAGGUUCCGAAGUGUGUCCAUUAGCCAAGGCAUUAUCCGCUAUAUCCACAUUGACAAUGACUUUCAUGAAACUAUCCACUCUGGCUGGCAAGGGAUUCCUCCUAAGAGAAGCAAACGGCGGCAGAAGCAGCUAACCCACAAAAUCACCAUUUGGACGUUGAACUCCAAGUUCGAGUGGGAGUUCCCAGUAAUCAGCAUGGAUGACCCGGGUGUUCUGUGCUGCCUGCUGAGGGCGAAGGAAUUUGAUGGCAAGGAGUGGAUGAUCAUGGUUGACAUGAACCAUGCGGAUCUGCAGUCAUGUACUGAUGUGAAUGUAGAAGACAAAUUCUCUAAUACCACCCAACUUCCAACUGUCUUCUCCAAAUACCUUCAAAAGGAGAACAGGAUUCUCAAAGAACUUCUUUCUUAA
rnacentral:rRNA from 1 species